GGGCCCGCACAAGCAGUGGAGUAUGUGGUUUAAUUCGAAGCAACGCGAAGAACCUUACCAGGGCUUGACAUACACAGGAAUGUAUCAGAGAUGAUAUAGCCCUUCGGGGUCUGUGAACAGGUGGUGCAUGGUUGUCGUCAGCUCGUGUCGUGAGAUGUUGGGUUAAGUCCCGCAACGAGCGCAACCCCUGUUGUUAGUUGCCAGCGAGUAAAGUCGGGCACUCUAGCGAGACUGCCGGUGAUAAAUCGGAGGAAGGUGGGGACGACGUCAAAUCAUCAUGCCCCUUAUGUCCUGGGCUACACACGUACUACAAUGGCUAAAACAGAGGGAAGCGAAGCCGUAAGGUGGAGCGAAACCCAAAAUAUAGUCCCAGUUCAGAUUGUGGGCUGAAACCCGCCCACAUGAAGUUGGAAUUGCUAGUAAUGGCAGGUCAGCAUACUGCCGUGAAUACGUUCCCGGGCCUU
rnacentral:rRNA from 1 species